GACGCGGUAGCGUCUCGACGCCAAGUUCAUGAAAAAUUAUAAAGCCACCCUGUAUAACGUGGCGCUACCGCUAUCUUUUACAGGAGAGAUGGUCCAUUCUAACCUAACUUGAAACUUCUUUCAUUAAUAUCUCAUCACGCCUGCUAUAUUUUCUAAAUUUAAACGCAUUUUUCUUAUGUAAAUCGCACAUAAGCUUUCGAAUAAAACCAAAACCAAUCAAAUCGGGACACGUACAACAGCGAUAUCGUAAUAUCAUGUCACGAUACAUCCAAAAAUAUUACCGUCUUAUACAUUUCCAGUCGAUUUUUCGUCAACACUUAGCCAAUAGGAGACAAGGCUGUUCGUCGACUCGUCGACUCUCGGAAUCAGUCGGCAAGGCUCGUCGGCCGGCUGAGGAAUAGCAGGAUGCAGAUUAUUAAAACAGAAGAAAAAAAUUUCACCAGAUGCUGCAAGAAAUAAUGCACAAGAGACAGUACUGUUGCCUUGUAAUACGUGUGUGCACGCAGUAAAACUAUAAUAGUAGUAUUAGCAGUGCGACAUAUUUUAUUAUAUUUCACAUCAAGAAGAGGAGCAUAUAACAUCAUCAAUAAAAGACGACAGUCAUUUCAAUAAGAGGAAACGAAGGGAUGAAUUGGUUGUUUCAUGAAGCAAAUAAUUUGCUGACGAAGCAACAGUAUUUUGGUGCUCUCCAAAAAUAAGAGCUGCCUCUGUGAAAUUCUAGUAUUUUAUCUGAGUGAAGAAUAUUUGGUAGUAAUUAUUAAAAUACCACAAGAAGAAUCGUGCAAGUAUUACAGGAAAUACGAUAAAGUUUGACAGCUAUAUUGAAAUUUGUCAGUUAAAAUAUACUACGAUCUGACAGAGUGUACAACAGAAGGAAUUAAGUGAGCUGUACAUAAUGAUAAUUGAAGCAUAAGAUGAUGAUGAGCGGUGUGCAUAACAAAUUUGCUGAUAUUUGUAUUAAUUCAUGAAUUGAAUCAAUAAAUGUUUGUAAUUAAUAAAUUAGUAUCAU